UCGGCCUAUAUUGAUCCGGUCGGUUC
rnacentral:sRNA from 1 species